CCUACGGGCGGCAGCAGUGGGGAAUAUUGCACAAUGGGCGCAAGCCUGAUGCAGCCAUGCCGCUUGUAUGUAGAAGGCCUUCGGGUUGUAUAGUACUUUCAGUCGUGAGUAAGGUGUUAAGGUUAAUACCUUAGCAAUUGACGUUAGCGACAGAAGAAGGAACGGCUAACUCCGUGCCAGCAGCCGUGGUAAUACGGAGGGUGCGGACUGUAAUCGGAAUUACUGGGCGGAAAGGGUAAGAAGGGGGAAAAGAAAGAAGGAAGAGAAAAAACGGGGCUUAACAAGAGAAUGGCAUACAAGACAGGUUAGGUAGAGUCUAGUAGAGGGGGGUAGAAUUCCAUGUGUAGCGGUGAAAUGCGAAGAGAAGAGGAGGAAUAGCGGAGGCGAAGGCGGACACCUGGACAAAGAAUGACGCACAGGUGCGAAAGCGUGGGGAGGAAACAGGAUUAGAUAACGUGGAAGUC
rnacentral:rRNA from 1 species